AUGACUCUUGGAACAUGCUUCAAUGUGGUUAAGCCGUUGGAUACUGAAACCGUCAAUUUUCUGAGGAUGAGAGCACUGCAACACAGGUCUAUCAAAAAUCACAGGUCUGUGGCUGAGGAUGAAGAACAAGAUGCGUUAAACGCGAAUGUCUAUCCAUAUAAUCUGGGUCGGUUCAUAUGGAGCAGUGAACUCCAUGAAAAGUUCUUGCAGGCUGUCGAAGUGCUUGGGGCGUCUGCUACGGCUAGAAAAAUUCACCAGUACAUGAAUGCAAAGGAUUUGAAUUUGACCAUACAGCACGUCGCAAGCCAUCUCCAGAAACACCGGCUGCGAGUGCAGAGGUAG
rnacentral:rRNA from 1 species